AGCAGCCGCGGUAAUUCCAGCUCCAAUAGCGUAUAUUAAAGUUGUUGCAGUUAAAAAGCUCGUAGUUGAAUUUCGGGAUCAAUACGUCGGUCGUGCUUUCGGGUACGUACUGGCGUCAUUGGUUUCUCCUUUCUGACGAACCAUGAUGUCAUUAAUUUGGUGUUAUGGGGAGUUAGGACUGUUACUUUGAAAAAAUUAGAGUGUUUAAAGCAGGCAUUAGCUUGAAUACAUUAUCAUGGAAUAAUGAAAUAGGACGUUCGAUCCUAUUUUGUUGGUUUCUAGGAUCAACGUAAUGAUUAAUAGGGAUAGUUGGGGGCAUUAGUAUUCAAUUGUCAGAGGUGAAAUUCUUGGAUUUAUUGAAGACUAACUACUGCGAAAGCAUUUGCCAAGGAUGUUUUCAUUAAUCAAGAACGAAAGUUAGGGGAUCGAAGACGAUCAGAUACCGUCGUAGUCUUAACCAUAAACUAUGCCGACUACGGAUCGGAUGAUGUUAAUUUAUGACUCA
rnacentral:rRNA from 1 species